GCCGCGCAUGCGCAGUGCAGCGCCACGCCCCCUCCCCGGAACCGGCUGCCGGCAGCCGGUGUGCAGGGGCUGCUGUGAGCCGAGGGAGGAGCGGAGGCGUCGCCGGGCUGCGGCUGCACGGAGGGAGAAGGCCGCGCUGAGGACGUGGUUGCCCGUCCCUCCCUUGGGGAUGCCGUCGACUGCACCCGCCUCGCCUGUGCCUGGCCUGGCUCGCCUCGUGGCGUGGGGGCGAAAAGGGACAGGCGGUGGAGCGCUUACCGGCCGUGGACAGCAGCUGCCCUAAGGGAAGCUGGAAUGGCCAGAGAAAGGUGAAGAAGAAGAAGAAGAGAUGGAAGGCUCUCCGGCCGGCAGCUGCCUCCCGCUGCAGGCAAGAGAGCGCCUGCCUCGCCGGGCGGAGGACAGCCGAGCGACCGGAGCGACAGCAAAGGAAAGGCGGAGAGCGGGAGAAAGAAGCGUCUGCGCUGGCAAGCUCUCCCGGCAGCGCCGAGAGCCAGAGCUGCGGUG